GUCCAGGGGCGGGAAGAGUGGACAAGGCACCUGCCCGGUAAGCAGAAGGGUGUGGGUUCGAUUCCCGCCCCUGGACA